rnacentral:lncRNA from 1 species
CCCCCCCGACAUCACCCACUGAACCGUGUCCCCAAGCACCAGCUCCAACCUCUCCACGGACGCCCCCAGGCCCCGGGUGCCCGCCUUUGCAGGGUGCUGAGGGCGCUGCUCUGCUCCCCCGCAGGGCUCGGCCUCGCUCCUGGCCCUGCAGCACCGCGCACAUUUCCCUUCCCCUCUCGUUUCUCGGGUUUGUCCUGGUUUUAUACCGGCAGCGAGGCUCGGGGACCCACCGCGGCCACCAGCGCCGCGUCCUGGGGGAGUCCCUGCCUGUCCCUGGGGUUCCCAAGCGAGCCCUGCCAGCUCCAGCCCUGCUUCACGGGCCCAUAAAUUCCCAGCCCUGCUUCACGUGCCCAUAAAACCCCAGCCCCGGUGCUGAGCUGGCCAAAAAGCGUCCCCACACCAGCUCCUGGGGUGACCCGUGGCCAUCACGGUCACCGCGAGAGCUCGCCUGCAGCUUGCAGAGCCUCCGUUUGGCUGCAGUGCUGGCAAGUGUGAGAAAGCUGUGACGUUGUGGAGAUAAAGGACAGGGACAGAAAGGGGACGGGAGAGCCCUUUGGCAAUGCCGGUGGCCUGGCAGAGGUGCUCGCCCGAGGCUCCCCGGGUCUUUUGGCCCCAGAAAAGGCGCAGGUGUCUCUCUGGUGACAGGACAGAAAGGCACCAAAGCACAGGAGAGCCACGUCGCGCCGGUCUCCUCGUGUUUCACGUACACACAAAAGCCAAGGUCCAGCCUUUCUGCCUGUGUCCUCAUCCCGAAGCCAGGACAACAUCCGGGAUAAAACCACACAUCUGUAGGAGCCGGCAGUACAAGCGUCCCCUUUGUCUUCUGUCCCUGCAGCACUUCUGUCCGUCCCACCUCCUCCGUCGUGCCUCCUGUACCUGCUCGUCUCCCCGCUCUUCUCCAGGCUCAGCCAUCGGCUGCUUCGAUGGCCAGAAAGCAUCAAUAAACACAGCAGCAGCAGCAAAGCAGCUUCUCUGUAGGAGAAGUUCUCUGUCUCGCUCAUCACUGCGGUCCCAAACCUCCUCAAUCUGGGUCCUCCCCUGUCGCAAUCCUGCCCGCGGCUGCUGUAUGAACGAUUUGUUACCAGGAGUCAAUCGUUUUGGCAACUCUGCUGCCAGGCACAUUCAGGAAGGUUUGCUCCCAGUCCCGGGCUGCUUUGAUCAAUUUGUUUGUGAAGCAGUUUUCAGUGGCUUGGUUAAUGUGGGUUAUUAUCUCCCCGGAAUCCCUGCUACAGAGGCUGAAUAA